rnacentral:rRNA from 1 species
UGAGGAAUAUUGGUCAAUGGGCGAGAGCCUGAACCAGCCAAGUAGCGUGCAGGAUGACGGCCCUAUGGGUUGUAAACUGCUUUUAUGUGGGGAUAAAGUGCGUGACGUGUCAUGCAUUGCAGGUACCACAUGAAUAAGGACCGGCUAAUUCCGUGCCAGCAGCCGCGGUAAUACGGAAGGUCCGGGCGUUAUCCGGAUUUAUUGGGGUUAAAGGGAGCGUAGGCUGUCUAUUAAGCGUGUUGUGAAAUUUACCGGCUCAACCGGUGGCUUGCAGCGCGAACUGGUCGACUUGAGUAUGCAGGAAGUAAGCGGAAUUCAUGGUGUAGCGGUGAAAUGCUUAGAUAUCAUGACGAACUCCGGUUGCGCAGGCAGCUUACUGUAGCAUAACUGACGCUGAUGCUCGAAAGUGCGGGUAUCAAACAGG